UACGUAGGUGGCAAGCGUUGUCCGGAUUUACUGGGCGUAAAGGGAGCGUAGGCGGAUACUUAAGUGGGAUGUGAAAUACCUGGGCUUAACUUGGGUGCUGCAUUCCAAACUGGGUGUCUAGAGUGUUGGAGAGGAAAGUGGAAUUCCUAGUGUAGCGGUGAAAUGCGUAGAGAUUAGGAAGAACACCAGCGGCGAAGGCGACUUUCUGGACAAUAACUGACGCUGAGGCUCGAAAGCGUGGGGAGCAAACAGGAUUAGAUACCCUGGUAGUCCACGCCGUAAACGAUGGGUACUAGGUGUAGGAGAUAUCGACUCCUCCUGUGCCGCCGUUAACACAAUAAGUACCCCGCCUGGGGAGUACGGUCGCAAGAUUAAA
rnacentral:rRNA from 1 species